UACAGAGGGUGCAAGCGUUGUUCGGAAUUAUUGGGCGUAAAGGGCGCGUAGGCGGUGCCACAAGUCACCUGUGAAAUCUCCGGGCUUAACUCGGAGCCUGCAGGCGAAACUGUGGUGCUGGAGUGUGGGAGAGGUGCGUGGAAUUCCCGGUGUAGCGGUGAAAUGCGUAGAUAGUCGGGAGGAACACCUGUGGCGAAAGCGGCGCACUGGACCAUGAACUGACGCUGGAUGCGCGAAAGCUAGGGGAGCAAACAGG
rnacentral:rRNA from 1 species